rnacentral:sRNA from 13 species
UAGUUGGUUGUAAAGAAGAUCUGAAAUAUUUCAAAAAACAUAGUGACACAUUCUGUCAGAUUUGAGUCUUAGCAGUGCUACCUUUCUCACAGAUUCGGGGGAUCAGCUAAAAAAAGAAGCCGGGCUGGCACUUCAAUUACUAUGAAAUGUCCUGCAGGACUCGGUAAAAAAGGAAGAGCAGCUGUUCGAAGCAGAACGGAGUGGGGGAGACUUUGGCGCGUGCCAGGAAAAGAACACCGGGCCUAGGGCUCAAAGUAACGUUCGUUUCAGGAUCACCGAUAACAAUUACUCAAACAGGACGACGCUGCAGCUCAAUGUGCAACUGCAACCCCGAAAGAGAGAGCGCUCCUUGCAGCUCUUAAGGAGGAUCCUGCCGGCGAAGAGGGGACCCUCUUUUGUGCGGGAUCCUUUGCUUCUUCGCGCAUUGCAGAAAGUAACGUAUUUUCCUCAUUGCUCUUCGGCAGAUGAUAGCUUCCUGGCACGUGUGCCACGUUUCAGAAAGUCGCCCACUCCUAUCAUUUCCGCUGUCUAAUUCAGCCUAAUUAAAUCAAUUUAAUGUGGCUAUACAAAACCAUCAUCUGCCCGAUUUGCAGCAUGAAUAACAAUAAUAAUAAUAAUAAUAAUGCCGCAGUGCCAACGUGUCACAAUCGAGAGCAGCACAACACAAAUCUGUGGCAAGUGUCUCUGCAGCAGCAGCGCUUGCAUCACCAUUCACCAGCUAUUUGAACAUCAAUUAUGAGCACAGACUCGCAUUGAAUGGAUGCUGAUGCGUUUGAGGGGGUUCUUUGGACAGGGGAUUCUGGGGACGGGGCACCGACAAUCCGGCCGACAUCCACAGAGGAUGAGCAGCACUCAGCAUGCAGAGACAUUCAAUGGAGCAGGCCAGCACACAAAAAGAAAGGGUGGCACAAGCCAAGAUGCAUCACAAAAGGUCACAGGGUCGUCCGACAGAGGGGGAUCCUAUCUACAGUUCCCCAUGUCAAACUUUUAAGUGGCAUAUUUUGAACAAAUCGGAAAAGCUGUCAGGAUUGGUGGCCUUUAUAAACGUGUAAAAUGUGUCACAAAGAUUACAGUCAAGGUUUGUCAUAUGCAAGCAAGGCGGUUGACUCACUACAAAUUCUGAUAAAAUUAUAAAAUUAUAAACAACAAAGUAUACCAUAAAUGUCUAAUAAUGCACAGAUGCACAAGUAGGUGAACCCCACCUCUAGAUGUGCCGCAUGCAAUUGGAAUCGAAAAUGAUGCUUGUCUUAUUGAAAUGCUGUGGCAAUUAAAUUCCUUGAGUUAUUCACAUCUCUAUUAAGAAGCGGGUAAACGAUAUAUGAAUUAUUUGAUCAGUUUCGCAUAAACAACUCAAUUAAAAACUGAAGAAUUCCAGUUCUUCCCACAAUCGGAAACAGAACAAUACCAACAAUGGCCCAAAAUCCACCCUCAAAACUAUCUGAAUCCGAAAGAUAUUUUCACACCUUCGCAAAUGAAUUGCCAGAUAGCGGGAUCACCUGUGCAUCGCUGCGAUUCCCAGGAUGUUGGCAAUCGGAAUCGGGAUAUUCCAACUGUAAAAUGCACAACAAAAGCGAACGGACGAUUUGCGGAAAGCAAAGGGAAGUGGAGAGCGGAUGUUGUGCACGCUUCACGCGCAAGCGUAGCGGAAAUCAAAAAAAGGACAAUGAAAGGACGAACGAAGAGAGGCACACGGAUUGCGGGUGAGGAAAAAGAAGUAGAAGACGGUGAAUUAAAUUUUACCGCUAUGGGAUCGAAAUAGAGACAAACGGAUGUGAAGCACAAUCACUUCCGAUUGCGGGCAGGAUAGAGGACCACACGCAGACGGGCGGACUUUGUCCACUCUCAGGUCCUUCAGCUGAUUCCCUAACCAAUCACUUUCUCUAUACAUUAAAUAAUCUAUCUUUUUAAAAGUAACUUCCCUAGCAAAAUUUCACUGUUCUUCUCGAUGCUUUGACUCCUAAAUUAAAAUGUUAACUGACCUCUGCAGAUUGGGUGAACUGAGCGAAUGAGAGUGUAUUUAAGGCACCCAAACAAAUAUGUGUCAGUUCCAACAAGUGUUUGUUUAUCUAGUCGCGCCGGAUAAUUUAUGGACCCAGCGGUUUUAUCAACGCCUCGCAGUUGCGUUCCCACAAGUGUUGCAUAAAGCUGAUAGAACGUCUCGAUCGCUGCCCGCACGAUCUCAAUUUAUUUGCAUUGUAAACAAGAAAAUAUUGUAUGUAUAGGAGCAAUCAUAAAGCAAAGGAAACAGACCGAG